UACGUAGGGUGCGAGCGUUGUCCGGAAUUAUUGGGCGUAAAGGGCUCGUAGGCGGUCUGUCACGUCGGGAGUGAAAACUCAGGGCUUAACCCUGAGCCUGCUUCCGAUACGGGCAGACUAGAGGUAUGCAGGGGAGAACGGAAUUCCUGGUGUAGCGGUGAAAUGCGCAGAUAUCAGGAGGAACACCGGUGGUGUAGACGGCUCUCUGGACCGCGACUGACGCUGAGACACGAAAGCGUGGGUAGCAAACAGG
rnacentral:rRNA from 1 species